rnacentral:pre_miRNA from 2 species
GCCGCUGAUUGUCCAAACGCAAUUCUUGUGCGAGUCUGCAGCCAACCGAGAAUUGUGGCUGGACAUCUGUGGC